GGGCGAUUAGCUCAGUUGGUUAGAGCGUCUGCCUUACAAGCAGAAGGCCGUUGGUUCGAGUCCAUCAUCGCCCA
rnacentral:tRNA from 1 species